rnacentral:rRNA from 1 species
UACGUAGGUGGCAAGCGUUGUCCGGAAUUAUUGGGCGUAAAGCGCGCGCAGGCGGUUCUUUAAGUCUGAUGUGAAAGCCCACGGCUCAACCGUGGAGGGUCAUUGGAAACUGGAGAACUUGAGUACAGAAGAGGAAAGCGGAAUUCCACGUGUAGCGGUGAAAUGCGUAGAGAUGUGGAGGAACACCAGUGGCGAAGGCGGCUUUCUGGUCUGUAACUGACGCUGAGGCGCGAAAGCGUGGGGAGCAAACAGGAUUAGAUACCCUGGUAGUCCACGCCGUAAACGAUGAGUGCUAAGUGUUAGGGGGUUUCCGCCCCUUAGUGCUGCAGCUAACGCAUUAAGCACUCCGCCUGGGGAGUACGACCGCAAGGUUGAA